GCUUGGGAUAGCUCUGCUGGUAGAGCACGAGACUGUUGAUAUCAGGGUUGUGGGUUCGAGGCCCAACUGGGCA